AUUUAUUUCAUGAAGUAAAACCAGUAGAAUAUAUUGAAUCCACCAUACAUGAGUGGAAAUAGAACUAGCGAAAGUUUGUCAAUAACUUUUGAUAGACUGUUGUAUUCUUUUCUGGAAGUAUUUCGUUCAAAACUUGAUGAUUUUUUAUCCUGAUUGUGUGGGGCCGAUAUCUCGUCUUCGUUUUGUCUCAUGCAUAAUUGAAACGACGUUCUGUAGUUUUUC
rnacentral:lncRNA from 1 species